AAGUACAUCAAGGAAGGUGGAGUGCAUUACAAAAUAGUAAUGCACUCCACCUUCCUUGAUGUACUU